GACGAACGCUGGCGGCGUGCUUAACACAUGCAAGUCGAACGGAAAGGCCCCCAUCUUGGUGGGGGUGCUCGAGUGGCGAACGGGUGAGUAACACGUGGGUGAUCUGCCCUGUACUUCGGGAUAAGCUUGGGAAACUGGGUCUAAUACCGGAUAGGACCAUGGUUUAGUGUCUCAUGGUGGAAAGAUUAUUGUUUUGGUGCAGGAUGAGCUCGCGGCCUAUCAGCCUGUUGGUGGGGUAAUGGCCUACCAAGGCGUCGACGGGUAGCCGGCCUGAGAGGGUGGACGGCCACAUUGGGACUGAGAUACGGCCCAGACUCCUACGGGAGGCAGCAGUGGGGAAUAUUGCACAAUGGGCGCAAGCCUGAUGCAGCGACGCCGCGUGGGGGAUGACGGCCUUCGGGUUGUAAACUCCUUUCGUUAGGGACGAAGCCGCACUUUUUUUGGGUGUGGUGACGGUACCUUUGUUAAGAAGCACCGGCUAACUACGUG
rnacentral:rRNA from 1 species